AAAUUGAAGAGUUUGAUCAUGGCUCAGAUUGAACGCUGGCGGCAGGCCUAACACAUGCAAGUCGAACGGUAACAGGAAGAAGCUUGCUUCUUUGCUGACGAGUGGCGGACGGGUGAGUAAUGUCUGGGAAACUGCCUGAUGGAGGGGGAUAACUACUGGAAACGGUAGCUAAUACCGCAUAACGUCGCAAGACCAAAGAGGGGGACCUUCGGGCCUCUUGCCAUCGGAUGUGCCCAGAUGGGAUUAGCUAGUAGGUGGGGUAACGGCUCACCUAGGCGACGAUCCCUAGCUGGUCUGAGAGGAUGACCAGCCACACUGGAACUGAGACACGGUCCAGACUCCUACGGGAGGCAGCAGUGGGGAAUAUUGCACAAUGGGCGCAAGCCUGAUGCAGCCAUGCCGCGUGUAUGAAGAAGGCCUUCGGGUUGUAAAAGUACUUUCAGCGGGGAGGAAGGGAGUAAAGUUAAUACCUUUGCUCAUUGACGUUACCCGCAGAAGAAGCACCGGCUAACUCCGUGCCAGCAGCCGCGGUAAUACGGAGGGUGCAAGCGUUAAUCGGAAUUACUGGGCGUAAAGCGCACGCAGGCGGUUUGUUAAGUCAGAUGUGAAAUCCCCGGGCUCAACCUGGGAACUGCAUCUGAUACUGGCAAGCUUGAGUCUCGUAGAGGGGGUAGAAUUCCGGUGUAGCGGUGAAAUGCGUAGAGAUCUGGAGGAAUACCGGUGGCGAAGGCGGCCCCCUGGACGAAGACUGACGCUCAGGUGCGAAAGCGUGGGGAGCAAACAGGAUUAGAUACCCCGGUAGUCCACGCCGUAAACGAUGUCGACUUGGAGGUUGUGCCCUUGAGGCGUGGCUUCCGGAGCUAACGCGUUAAGUCGACCGCCUGGGGAGUACGGCCGCAAGGUUAAAACUCAAAUGAAUUGACGGGGGCCCGCACAAGCGGUGGAGCAUGUGGUUUAAUUCGAUGCAACGCGAAGAACCUUACCUGGUCUUGACAUCCACGGAAGUUUUCAGAGAUGAGAAUGUGCCUUCGGGAACCGUGAGACAGGUGCUGCAUGGCUGUCGUCAGCUCGUGUUGUGAAAUGUUGGGUUAAGUCCCGCAACGAGCGCAACCCUUAUCCUUUGUUGCCAGCGGUCCGGCCGGGAACUCAAAGGAGACUGCCAGUGAUAAACUGGAGGAAGGUGGGGAUGACGUCAAGUCAUCAUGGCCCUUACGACCAGGGCUACACACGUGCUACAAUGGCGCAUACAAAGAGAAGCGACCUCGCGAGAGCAAGCGGACCUCAUAAAGUGCGUCGUAGUCCGGAUUGGAGUCUGCAACUCGACUCCAUGAAGUCGGAAUCGCUAGUAAUCGUGGAUCAGAAUGCCACGGUGAAUACGUUCCCGGGCCUUGUACACACCGCCCGUCACACCAUGGGAGUGGGUUGCAAAAGAAGUAGGUAGCUUAACCUUCGGGAGGGCGCUUACCACUUUGUGAUUCAUGACUGGGGUGAAGUCGUAACAAGGUAACCGUAGGGGAACCUGCGGUUGGAUCACCUCCUUACCUUAAAGAAGC
rnacentral:rRNA from 1 species